CUCAGUGGACAAGAUCUCCAGAGGCCAGUUUCACCACUGUUGUAAGGGGGCACUGCCUUGAUGAUGUGCGGUGGGCUACAACCUACCUGUGCAUAGGGCACAAGUCAUGACAUUCAGGACUGUUUCUGAGUAAGUAACCAGAAACGGCAGCAUCUUCCAUUCAGGAAAGCAAGGUUUUGAAAUGAAGAUAUUGAAAUGCAUUCCUCCAUAGCAGUACAACCACAGUUGCCUGGUUUGUUCAGCAGAGUGAGAAGACCUUGGAACAAGGUGGAGCCCAUGGCCAAGACCAUAGGCAUAGAGGAGCACAUGGGAGACCUGCAACAGUUUAUCCUGGUAGAAAGCUGCAGGAGAUUGAACAUCAUUAAGAAAGUGCAAGUUGAAAACAGAAGGUAAUGGAAUUUCAGACAGUGCCUUGUCCAGCUGCACCUCUGGAAGGUAGAUCCCAAAAAAGUGAGUUGAGAUGAACAUGAAGGCAAACCUCUCUGCGGGGUUUGCUGCGAAAACUCACUGGUACAGAUUACUGUGAAUGGGAUCGUGCAUCUUGCCACAGACCUUUUCCACCCCAUGGUCUCAUUUAAAUCUUCUCUCUCUUCUCCUGUACCAUACCCUGGCUGGUAGCCUAAGAACCUCCCCACCAACUGCAGUUGUGUUGUGCCUCUCUAAAUCAACAGCAUCCCUUGGAGCUCAGUGGCAUUAUGCUGAUUUACUUGAGUGCAGGGUCUGGCUCUGAAGUUUGUAUGUGAUUCAAACAAGAUGUUCCUCAAAGUUAGUCGUAAGUGAAUAAAUGAUACUUGACAUUCUGGAGAAGCUCAUGCUCAUUAAAAAGCAUUUU